rnacentral:lncRNA from 10 species
GUCCGGGCGGUUGAAAUGAAAGAGGCAAGGUGAAGCCGGGCGCGGUGGCUCAUCUGUCAUCCCAACGCUUAGGGAGGCCGAGGCGGGAGGAUUGCUCUAGGCCAGGAGUUCAAGACCAGCCUGGGCAACAUAGCGAGCCCUGUCUCUACAAAAAAUACUAAAAAAAAAAAAAAAAUUAGGCCGGUCGCGGUGGCUCAUGCUUGUAAUCCCAGCACUUCGGGAAGCCGAGGCGGGCGGACCACUUGAAGUCAGGAGUUCAAGACCAGCCUGCUCAAAAUGGCUGGGGCGGAAGGUCGAGAGGGCGAGGCCUGUGGCACGGUGGGGCUGCUGCUGGAGCACUCAUUUGAGAUCGAUGACAGUGCCAACUUCCGGAAGCGGGGCUCACUGCUCUGGAACCAGCAGGAUGGUACCUUGUCCCUGUCACAGCGGCAGCUCAGCGAGGAGGAGCGGGGCCGACUCCGG